CCGUUAAUUGAUUAUGACGUGCUUGCACUGAAUGAGAUUUUAACACGAAGUGAGUGGCGGACGGGUGAGUAACACGUGGGUAACCUGCCCAGAAGCAGGGGAUAACACCUGGAAACAGAUGCUAAUACCGUAUAACAGAGAAAACCGCCUGGUUUUCUUUUAAAAGAUGGCUCUGCUAUCACUUCUGGAUGGACCCGCGGCGCAUUAGCUAGUUGGUGAGGUAACGGCUCACCAAGGCGAUGAUGCGUAGCCGACCUGAGAGGGUAAUCGGCCACAUUGGGACUGAGACACGGCCCAGACUCCUACGGGAGGCAGCAGUAGGGAAUCUUCCACAAUGGACGCAAGUCUGAUGGAGCAACGCCGCGUGAGUGAAGAAGGGUUUCGGCUCGUAAAGCUCUGUUGUUAAAGAAGAACGUGGGUGAGAGUAACUGUUCACCCAGUGACGGUAUUUAACCAGAAAGCCACGGCUAACUACGUGCCAGCAGCCGCGGUAAUACGUAGGUGGCAAGCGUUAUCCGGAUUUAUUGGGCGUAAAGCGAGCGCAGGCGGUCUUUUAAGUCUAAUGUGAAAGCCUUCGGCUCAACCGAAGAAGUGCAUUGGAAACUGGGAGACUUGAGUGCAGAAGAGGACAGUGGAACUCCAUGUGUAGCGGUGAAAUGCGUAGAUAUAUGGAAGAACACCAGUGGCGAAGGCGGCUGUCUGGUCUGUAACUGACGCUGAGGCUCGAAAGCAUGGGUAGCGAACAGGAUUAGAUACCCUGGUAGUCCAUGCCGUAAACGAUGAUUACUAAGUGUUGGAGGGUUUCCGCCCUUCAGUGCUGCAGCUAACGCAUUAAGUAAUCCGCCUGGGGAGUACGACCGCAAGGUUGAAACUCAAAAGAAUUGACGGGGGCCCGCACAAGCGGUGGAGCAUGUGGUUUAAUUCGAAGCUACGCGAAGAACCUUACCAGGUCUUGACAUCUUCUGCCAACCUAAGAGAUUAGGCGUUCCCUUCGGGGACAGAAUGACAGGUGGUGCAUGGUUGUCGUCAGCUCGUGUCGUGAGAUGUUGGGUUAAGUCCCGCAACGAGCGCAACCCUUAUUACUAGUUGCCAGCAUUCAGUUGGGCACUCUAGUGAGACUGCCGGUGACAAACCGGAGGAAGGUGGGGACGACGUCAAAUCAUCAUGCCCCUUAUGACCUGGGCUACACACGUGCUACAAUGGAUGGUACAACGAGUUGCGAAACCGCGAGGUUUAGCUAAUCUCUUAAAACCAUUCUCAGUUCGGACUGUAGGCUGCAACUCGCCUACACGAAGUCGGAAUCGCUAGUAAUCGCGGAUCAGCAUGCCGCGGUGAAUACGUUCCCGGGCCUUGUACACACCGCCCGUCACACCAUGAGAGUUUGUAACACCCAAAGCCGGUGGGGUAACCUUUU
rnacentral:rRNA from 1 species